rnacentral:rRNA from 1 species
CCUUGACAUCCAGAGAACUUAGCAGAGAUGCUUUGGUGCCUUCGGGAACUCUGAGACAGGUGCUGCAUGGCUGUCGUCAGCUCGUGUUGUGAAAUGUUGGGUUAAGUCCGCAACGAGCGCAACCCUUAUCCUUUGUUGCCAGCGGUUCGGCCGGGAACUCAAAGGAGACUGCCGGUGAUAAACCGGAGGAAGGUGGGGAUGACGUCAAGUCAUCAUGGCCCUUACGGCCGGGGCUACACACGUGCUACAAUGGCGCAUACAAAGAGAAGCGACCUCGCGAGAGCAAGCGGACCUCAUAAAGUGCGUCGUAGUCCGGAUUGGAGUCUGCAACUCGACUCCAUGAAGUCGGAAUCGCUAGUAAUCGUAGAUCAGAAUGCUACGGUGAAUACGUUCCCGGGCCUUGUACACACCGCCCGUCACACCAUGGGAGUGGGUUGCAAAAGAAGUAGGUAGCUUAACCUUCGGGAGGGCGCUUACCACUUUGUGAUUCAUGACUGGGGUGAAGUCGUAACAAGGUAGGCGUAGCGAG